rnacentral:rRNA from 1 species
AUGCCGCCGCAAGUGCCUUCCCCUCUCCGCCGCUUCCUCCCCCUCUCCCAAACCCUAGCUCCGGCCCCGCUCCUCUACCUCUCGCGCCGCCUCUUCUUCUCUUCCGUCUCCGCUCCCCGCUCCCCCUUCACCCGUGCCGCCGGCAUCCGCCCCCUCGUGUAUCGCUGCCAGGCCAGCCGCCAUCACCCCCGCCGUGGGAACAGCACGGCCAGGAAGGAACCCGAGGGGAUGGCUAGCGGUGGCGGUGGCGGUGGCAAAGACGCGGGGGUGGCGUUCAAUAAGAUGCGUGCGGAGGGGAGGGACGUCAGGAAGGACAGGAGCAUGGAGCUCAAGAACCGCAGGGCCAACCCCAUCAGCACAACCUCCUACGUGCAGAUACUCGGUACAGGAAUGGACACUCAAGAUACCGCUCCUUCAAUUUUACUAUUCUUUGACAAACAAAGAUUUAUAUUUAAUGCUGGCGAGGGUCUUCAGCGUUUCUGCACUGAACACAAGAUAAAGUUGUCAAAGAUUGACCACAUCUUUUUCACUCGCGUGUGCUCAGAAACUGCAGGGGGCCUUCCAGGUCUCGUGCUAACUCUUGCUGGGAUGGGAGAUGAGGGCAUGUCGGUGAACAUAUGGGGCCCUUCGGACCUUGAUUUUCUAGCAGGCGCGAUGAAAUCUUUUAUCCCAAAUAGGGCAAUGCUUCAUACACACAGCUUUGGUGUGGAACACAGUGCAUCUUCUUCACAAUCUACAGAAGCUACUGUUAUUAUUGAUGAUGAAGUAGUUCGUAUAUCAGCAAUGUUUGUCAAACCGAGGUACAACAAUGAAGCCAGGAAUUCAACAGAUAUCAACUCAAAGCCUGGUGAUACUGCUAUAGUCUACUCAUGUGAAUUGGCAGAAAUUAAAGGAAAAUUUGACCCUGAUAAAGCUCAGGCCCUUGGUCUUGAGCGUGGGCCAAAGUAUCGUGAACUUCAACUUGGGAACUCUGUGAAGACUGAAGCUGGUAGAAUGGUUCAUCCAAGUGAGGUUCUCGACCCACCAAUUCCUGGACCAAUCGUACUUCUAGUGGAUUGCCCUACACAAUAUCACAUGCAUGAACUGUUUUUGCUGCAAUCACUUAGCCGCUUUUAUGAAGAUUCUUCCUGCCAAACAGAGAAUGCCAAGAAAGUAAAUUGCAUAAUCCACUUAGGUCCAUCUUCUGUGACAAAUACUGUUGAUUAUCAGAACUGGAUGAAAUCUUUUGGCACCACACAGCAUAUCAUGGCAGGGCAUGAAAAUAAAAACAUGGAAGUUCCUAUCCUGAAAGGUAGUGCAAGGAUAUCUUCACGUCUUAAUUUUGUAUGCCCUCAGCUCUUCCCAUCCUCUGGGUUUUGGCCUGUGGAACCUGCAAAUGGUAUUGAUUUGGAGAAGAAUAAGAGUACUUCAUUCCAAGCCUGUGAAAGUGUGACAGCAGCAAACUUGCUGAAGUUUCGUCUGCGUCCAUAUGCUCAACUGGGGUUGGAUAGAGCUUCUAUUCCAAGCUUGUUUAGUUAUGAAGAAAUUGUAGAUGAACUUAUUUCUGAGAUUCCUGAGAUUAAAGAAGUUCCUGAGCAGAUUAGCAAGUUCUGGCAAAGUAGUGUAGACCAAAAAAAUGCAUUGGCACCAGCUGGGAAACAUAUGCUGAUGGUUGAAGAGCCAUGGAUUAGUAAAGACUCCUGUCUUCCUGAUAUUUUAGAUGAACAGGAGAAUUCAGCUAAGUUUCAAGAUGACAGUAGUUUGAGAGAAAGUGUUUGGAGAAAGCGCCCAAAGGGCAAUUCAGAGACCCCCUGCUGCGUGGAGAAUGCUACGAGAGAAGAUAUGGAAAUUACGUUUUUGGGUACGGGUUCUUCCCAGCCUUCAAAAUAUCGAAAUGUUAGUUCCAUAUAUAUUAACCUGUUUGCACGAGGAGGUAUGCUUCUUGAUUGUGGUGAAGGAACGUUAGGACAGCUGAAAAGGAGGUUUGGUGUAAGUGGUGCUGAUGAAGCUGUAAAAAACUUGAGGUGCAUCUGGAUUUCCCAUAUUCACGCUGAUCACCACACGGGUCUCGCUAGAGUUCUUGCCUUGAGGUCAAAAUUGCUAAACGGUGUUCCUCACAAACCCUUGCUCGUGAUUGGACCAAAACAACUCCUGAGAUUUCUAAAUGCAUAUUCAACACUUGAAGAUCUUGAUAUGCAGUUCCUAGACUGCAGACAAACUUUGAAGCCUAGUGUUGAGGAACUUCUUGGUGAUAAUGCCACCGAAUCGGCAACAACUCAACUUGAAAAUACCAUGUUUGCCCCUGGAAGCAGAAUGGAGAACUACAACAAGAAGCCUUCAAGUCCGAAGGAUACUACAGCUCUCGCUAAUUUGAAAGAAGUUCUACAUGAAUCAGGUUUGGAGAUUCUGUACAGUGUCCCUGUCGUACAUUGUGCACAGGCGUUUGGAGUUGUUUUGAGAGCCAAGGAGAAGGUGAGUAGUGCUGGGAAGGCAAUUCCAGGAUGGAAGGUUGUAUAUUCAGGCGACACGCGGCCGUGCCCAGCUCUUGUAGAUGCGUCCAGAGAUGCCACCGUGCUGAUACAUGAGGCGACGUUUGAGGACAGCAUGAAGGACGAAGCGAUCGCGCGGAACCACAGCACAACGAAGGAAGCCAUAGCAGUAGGCACAUCGGCUGGAGCGUACCGCAUAAUCCUGACCCACUUUAGCCAGAGAUAUCCUAAAAUCCCGGUCUUUGACGAGGAUGACAUGCACAAGACCUGCAUCGCUUUCGACCUCAUGAGCGUAAACCUCGCCGAUUUGCCCGUGCUACCAAAGGUCCUGCCUCACCUGAAGCUCCUCUUCAAGGAUGAGAUGGUCGUCGAAGAGUCUGAUGAGGUCCUGGAGGCCGUGGUGUAG